rnacentral:lncRNA from 10 species
CCGGGCCCGGCGACACCUUUCUUUGCCACCUGGAACCAACAUCUUGGUUCCCUUUUGAGGGAUCAGAACUUGUUUAAUUGGAAUACGGCAAAAUUCUGAAUUUUUCUGCCGUCUCUAUUCCAACUUCAGAGUUCUGCCGUCCAGCCCUGCGACAAUCUUCCGGUGCCAACGCGGCAGGUGGUGUCAGAAGCGGAGUCCAGAGUAGAGCUUCUAGGAACCUUCGGGAGUGCUGAGUGAACACGCAAGGUGCCUGCGGAACCCACUUGUGUCCAUUGACCUCUCCGAGUGGCCGGGGAUCGUGGGUAAGUUCCCUCUCGGAUUUCAGAGCUCCACAGAUUUGUGUUUUGAGCUCUCCGAGUUUCAUUGAGCAAAUAUCUGAUCCAAACUGGGUUUGGAAGCUGUGACAGAAACUGGACUGGUUCUGGGAAUGGAUCUGAUGUGGUAAUUAGCUGGCUUGGACCCAGUUAGAGGCCUCUUACAUGUGACUGGGUCAGAAAGAAACUGGUAGCAAAUGGUAAUAUUGCAGGAGGUGUAAAAUUUGGCUUUUAAAAAUUAACAGGGAUGUUUGUGUUCUACCCCUUUGUUUCAUUUUUCUUGUGCACUUAGGUAUUAAAAAAAAAAUUACUGGGUAAGUUAAUCAAGGGAACCUGAGAGUAAUGAAUGCCAAUAUUUUAGGUAAAAAUGGGAUCUUUUUUUUUUUUUUUUUGAGAUG